ensembl:lncRNA
UGACUCUCCUUUGUGUCACGGAGGCUCUCCGCACUGCCAAAGCUGACUAUCUCUCAUCUGUUCUUAUUCUCCUAGAUCUAUCUGCUGCCUUCGACUGUCUGAUCUUCCUCUCCACCCUCUGUGCGUCUCAGGCUCUGCACACUAUUGGAUUGCAUCCUACCUGCCAGGCCGCUCCUACGAGGGGAUGUGGACAGGAUCUGUGUCUGUACCAUGUACUGUCACAGGUGGUGUCCCCCAGGGCAUGGUUCUCUCCUCUUCUCUCUAUACACCAAGUCACUCGGCUCUGUCAUAUACUCACAUGGUCUCUCCUCCUAUCACUCCUAUCACACUCAAUCCUUUUUCUCCUUCCCCCUUCUAACACCCAGGUGGCGACAUGCAUCUCUGCGUGCCUGGCAGAUAUCUCAGCUUAGAUGUCGGCCCACCACCUCCAGCUCAACCUCGACAAGACAGAGCUGCUCUUCCUCCCGGUGAAGGCCUGCCCCCUCCAAGACCUCUCAAUCACUGUUGACAACUUCACGUUGUCCCCCUCCCAGAGUGCAAAGAACUUUGGCGUGACCCUGGACAACACCCUGUCAUUCUCUGCAAACAUCAAAGCAGUGACGCGCUCCUCCAGAUGUGGUAUGCAGUGCACUCCUCCCUCAUCACGGCUCUCUAGUGUUCCCUCUCCCAGUCAGAACAACCCAGACGGGCUCUACUCCUCUUAUCAGAUGGAGCCAGGCAGGCAGGACAGGACGGGGCCAGUGUGGAUCCAGCUGCUCCCAGGAGCAGGGCGCAGUCCCACUUAAUAGGUCUUCCCGGCAUCCCAGGCCUCGCCCCACUGGCAUCCCAGUCACAGCCAGGCAGGCUACUCCGUGGGUGGCACGCCUUGGAAACAGGCGGCAGAGACAGAGGAGGUGGGUACGGGGGAGACUGGUAAAGACAACCCAGUCCGCCUGGUGUUCCAGAGAACUUUGCCGUUAGACCAAUUGCUUCCCGAGGACCAGUAAAAAGCAAUGGCUCCGACAUGGAGUCCCAUGACGCAUCAUGCUGAAUCUGAUCAGAACAUAUUGAGAGUUCAAAUGACACUUGCUUGAAUAUGCAGCUUGAGCUACAUCGAAAUGUUGUCAACGUUGAGCGAGUUUCUGUUUUCAUAUUGGUGGUGCUACCUGCUUAGAAGGCCGGUCAGGGUCUUGGUGUUCUAAAUCAUCCUAAUUGAUGGGUGUCGGAUGUGUUAGUAUUAUCAUAGGUGCUCUGAGAUUUGUCUCCAAAUAAAUAAAGCUUUAAUUUAUAAGCAUGGAC